AUUGAACGCUGGCGGCAGGCUUAACACAUGCAAGUCGAUCGGGGUGAUGGUGCUUGCACUAUCACUUAGCGGCGGACGGGUGAGUAAUGCUUAGGAAUCUGCCUAUUAGUGGGGGACAACAUCUCGAAAGGGAUGCUAAUACCGCAUACGUCCUACGGGAGAAAGCAGGGGAUCACUUGUGACCUUGCGCUAAUAGAUGAGCCUAAGUCGGAUUAGCUAGUUGGUGGGGUAAAGGCCUACCAAGGCGACGAUCUGUAGCGGGUCUGAGAGGAUGAGCCGCCACGCUGGGACUGAGACACGGCCCAGACUCCGACAGGAGGCAGCAGUGGGGAAUAUUGGACAAUGGGGGGAACCCUGAUCCAGCCAUGCCGCGUGUGUGAAGAAGGCCUUAUGGUUGUAAAGCACUUUAAGCGAGGAGGAGGCUCUUUUGGUUAAUACCCAAGAUGAGUGGACGUUACUCGCAGAAUAAGCACCGGCUAACUCUGUGCCAGCCGCCGCAGUAA
rnacentral:rRNA from 1 species